rnacentral:rRNA from 1 species
AGUGAACGCUGGCGGUAGGCCUAACACAUGCAAGUCGAACGGCAGCACAGUAAGAGCUUGCUCUUACGGGUGGCGAGUGGCGGACGGGUGAGGAAUACAUCGGAAUCUACUUUUUCGUGGGGGAUAACGUAGGGAAACUUACGCUCAUACCGCAUACGACCUACGGGUGAAAGCAGGGGAUCUUCGGACCUUGCGCGAUUGAAUGAGCCGAUGUCGGAUUAGCUAGUUGGCGGGGUAAAGGCCCACCAAGGCGACGAUCCGUAGCUGGUCUGAGAGGAUGAUCAGCCACACUGGAACUGAGACACGGUCCAGACUACUACGGGAGGCAGCAGUGGGGAAUAUUGGACAAUGGGCGCAAGCCUGAUCCAGCCAUACCGCGUGGGUGAAGAAGGCCUUCGGGUUGUAAAGCCCUUUUGUUGGGAAAGAAAAGCAGCAGGUUAAUACCCCGCUGUUCUGACGGUACCCAAAGAAUAAGCACCGGCUAACUUCGUG